GAUGAACGCUGGCGGCGUGCCUAAUACAUGCAAGUCGAGCGAACGGACGAGAAGCUUGCUUCUCUGAUGUUAGCGGCGGACGGGUGAGUAACACGUGGAUAACCUACCUAUAAGACUGGGAUAACUUCGGGAAACCGGAGCUAAUACCGGAUAAUAUUUUGAACCGCAUGGUUUAAAAGUGAAAGACGGUCUUGCUGUCACUUAUAGAUGGAUCCGCGCUGCAUUAGCUAGUUGGUAAGGUAACGGCUUACCAAGGCAACGAUGCAUAGCCGACCUGAGAGGGUGAUCGGCCACACUGGAACUGAGACACGGUCCAGACUCCUACGGGAGGCAGCAGUAGGGAAUCUUCCGCAAAGGGCGAAAGCCUGACGGAGCAACGCCGCGUGAGUGAUGAAGGUCUUCGGAUCGUAAAACUCUGUUAUUAGGGAAGAACAUAUGUGUAAGUAACUGCGCACAUCUUGACGGUACCUAAUCAGAAAGCCACGGCUAACUACGUG
rnacentral:rRNA from 1 species